UUGCGUGUAUUUUUGGUUGCGCACUUUCAUCCAGCAGUUGUGCGUGUGACACUUCAAUGGACAAAGCUACCUACAAGCUUUACUCUCGUGCGUCGUGCCCUUUUGGCCUCUCACUUUCUUAGUUGCUUUGUCCAGUAAGCCCACAUUAUAGAGGGUACAAAAUCCAUAGUGCAGAUGGAUCAAACCAGGAUUCUCUUGUAUGGCUCCAGCUUGGUUUGACAUUGAUAGAACUGGUUCAUUUAUAUGUGGAUGGAAAUUGUAAACAUUGUAGUAAUGGUGGUGCUACAAUAGCAAAUAUGAUAGGGGCGAAAGAAGCAGCAAUUGCGUGUGCUAGGGCUGAUCAAACUCUUUUUAGUGGGUUGAGCUAUCACACCUGGCCAUCACAGCGGUCAGGCUCCCAUACCUCUCUCUUUAAUUACCUUUAAAGGAACUCACCAGAUAUUCAUCUUGGGAAGCAAUUGAUGUUGAUGGGUAACUGGCAAUUCAAUACUACAUAAAAGUUCUCUUUUUUGCUGCUAACUAGGCGCUAGGUCCUAGGCAUUUACUCAGUCUCACAUUCAAUGAUCCCUGCCACCAAAGAAGACUGGUCAGCAGCCAAUAGAAGAGGAGAUGAGAUUUUUCUUUCUUUCUUUUCUUUCUUUUUAACUAUUACUACUCUUGCUACU